rnacentral:ribozyme from 15 species
UUUUUUUUUUUUUUUUUUUUUUUUUUUUAACCCGAACUAGAGAAUAUCGUGACUGGUAUAAAGCAGGGAG